UACGUAGGGGGCAAGCGUUGUCCGGAAUCAUUGGGCGUAAAGAGCGUGUAGGCGGCUCGGUAAGUCCGCUGUGAAAGCCCGGUCGGACUGAACCGGACGCGUUGAGACUGGCACGCUAGAGUUCGGGAGAGGAUGGUGGAAUUCCCAGUGUAGAGGUGAAAUUCGUUAGAUAUUCGCAAGAACACCAGUGGCGAAGGCGGCUCACUGGCCCGAUACUGACGCUGAGGUGCGAAAGCGUGGGGAGCAAACAGG
rnacentral:rRNA from 1 species